rnacentral:rRNA from 1 species
UACAGAGGUCUCAAGCGUUGUUCGGAUUCAUUGGGCGUAAAGCGCGCGCAGGCGGUCUCUUAAGUCUGAUGUGAAAGCCCCCCGGCUCAACCGGGGGAGGGUCAUUGGAAACUGGGGAGACUUGAGUGCAGAAGAGAAGAGUGGAAUUCCACGUGUAGCGGUGAAAUGCGUAGAGAUGUGGAGGAACACCAGUGGCGAAGGCGACUCUUUGGUCUGUAACUGACGCUGAGGCGCGAAAGCGUGGGGAGCAAACAGG